AACGAACGCUGGCGGCAUGCCUAACACAUGCAAGUCGAACGAGACCUUCGGGUCUAGUGGCGCACGGGUGCGUAACGCGUGGGAACCUGCCCUUAGGUUCGGAAUAACUCCCCGAAAGGGGUGCUAAUACCGGAUAAUGUCUUCGGACCAAAGAUUUAUCGCCUUUGGAUGGGCCCGCGUUGGAUUAGCUAGUUGGUAGGGUAAAAGCCUACCAAGGCGACGAUCCAUAGCUGGUCUGAGAGGAUGAUCAGCCACACUGGGACUGAGACACGGCCCAGACUCCUACGGGAGGCAGCAGUGGGGAAUAUUGGACAAUGGGCGAAAGCCUGAUCCAGCAAUGCCGCGUGAGUGAUGAAGGCCUUAGGGUUGUAAAGCUCUUUUACCCGGGAUGACAGUGACAGUACCGGGAGAAUAAGCUCCGGCUAACUCCGUG
rnacentral:rRNA from 1 species